rnacentral:rRNA from 1 species
UACGUAGGGUCCGAGCGUUGUCCGGAAUUAUUGGGCGUAAAGGGCUCGUAGGCGGUUUGUCGCGUCGGGAGUGAAAACCUACAGCUUAACUGUGGGCUUGCUUUCGAUACGGGCAGACUUGAGGCAUGCAGGGGAGAACGGAAUUCCUGGUGUAGCGGUGAAAUGCGCAGAUAUCGGGAGGAACACCAAUGGCGAAGGCAGCUCGCUGGGACGUUACUGACGCUGAGACGCGAAAGCGUGGGGAGCAAACAGG